rnacentral:tRNA from 1 species
GGAGAGGUGCCUGAGUGGCCUAAAGGACACGCUUGGAAAGCGUGCGUACAGGAAACUGUACCGCGGGUUCGAAUCCCGCUCUCUCCGCCA